GACGACGCUGGCGGCGUGCUUAACACAUGCAAGUCGAACGGUGACGGAGAGCUUGCUCUCCUGAUCAGUGGCGAACGGGUGAGUAACACGUGGGCAAUCUGCCCCAGACUUCGGGAUAACGCUUCGAAAGAGGUGCUAAUACCGAAUACGAACGCCGUGGGCAUCCACGGUGUUGGAAAGUUUUUCGGUCUGGGAUGGGCCCGCGGCCUAUCAGCUUGUUGGUGAGGUAAUGGCUCACCAAGGCGACGACGGGUAGCCGGCCUGAGAGGGCGACCGGCCACACUGGGACUGAGACACGGCCCAGACUCCUACGGGAGGCAGCAGCUAAAGAAUAUUCCGCAAUGGACGAAAGUCUGACGGAGCGACGCCGCGUGGAUGAAGAAGGCCGAAAGGUUGUAAAGUUCUUUUGCUAGGGGAGAAUAAGUGAGGGAGGGAAUGCCCUCAUGAUGACAAGGACUAGCGAAUAAGCCCCGGCCAACUACGUG
rnacentral:rRNA from 1 species